AUGCUGUGUUUCUACCAUGCUGUGUUUCUACCAUGCUGUGUUGUCAUGUUUUCUACCAUGCUGUGUUGUCAUGUGUUGCUACCAUGCUGUGCUGUCAUGUGUUGCUACCAUGCUGUGUUCAUGUGUUGCUACCAUGCUGUGUUGCUACCAUGCUGUGUUGUCAUGUGUUUCUACCAUGCUGCGUUGCUACCAUGCUGUGUUGCUGCCAUGCUGUGUUGUCAUGUGUUGCUACCAUGCUGUGUUGCUACCAUGCAGUGUUGUCAUGUGUUGCUACCAUGCUGUGUUGUCAUGUGUUUCUACCAUGCUGUGUUUCUACCAUGCUGUGUUUCUACCAUGCUGUGUUGUCAUGUUUUCUACCAUGCUGUGUUGUCAUGUGUUGCUACCAUGCUGUGCUGUCAUGUGUUCCUACCAUGCUGUGCUGUCAUGUGUUGCUGCCUUGCUGUGUUUCUACCAUGGUGUGUUGUCAUGAGAUGCUACCAUGCUGUGUUGAUACCAUACUGUGUUGUCAUGUGUUGCUGUCUUGCUGGUAUGCUACCAUGCUGUGUUGCUACCAUGCUGUGUUGUCAUGUGAUGCUACCAUGCUGUGUUUCUACCAUGCUGUGCUGUCAUGUGAUGCUACCAUGCUGUGCUGUCAUGUGUUUCUACCAUUCUGUGUUGCUACCAUGCUGUGAUGUCAUGUGUUGCUACCAUGCUGAUUGUCAUGUAUUGCUACCAUGCUGUGUUUUCAUGUGUUGCUACCAUGCUGUGUUGCAACCAUGCUGUGUUGUCAUGUGUUUCUACCAUGCUGUGUUGCUACCAUGCUGUGUUGCUGCCAUGCUGUGUUGUCAUGUGUUGCUACCAUGCUGUGUUGNNNNNNNNNNNNNNNNNNNNNNNNNNNNNNNNNNNNNNNNNNNNNNNCUAGGCAAGUCAGUUAAGAACAAAUUCUUAUUUACAAUGACGGACAACCCCUGCCAAACCCAGACGAUGCUGGGCCAAUUGUGCGCCGCCCUAUGGGACUCCCAAUCACGGCCGGAUGUGAUGCAGCUUGGAUUCGAACCGGGGACUGCAGUGUCUUCGACCACUGCACCACUCGGGUUACGUACAUUAGGAAAAUAUGCCUCAUUUAAAACAUGA
rnacentral:lncRNA from 8 species